UCUAAUUUGAAAUGAUGUGGUGCUUUGAAU
rnacentral:piRNA from 1 species